rnacentral:rRNA from 1 species
UACGAAGGGUGCAAGCGUUGCUCGGAAUUAUUGGGCGUAAAGGGUAGGUAGGUGGUUACGUAUGUCUGAGGUGAAAUCCCUAAGCUUAACUUAGGACGUGCCUUGGAAACGGCGUAACUAGAGUGCUGGAGAGGUUCGUAGAAUUCCCGGUGUAGCGGUGAAAUGCGUAGAGAUCGGGAGGAAUACCAGAGGCGAAGGCGGCGAACUGGGCAGCAACUGACACUAAACUACGAAAGCGUGGGGAGCAAACAGG